rnacentral:misc_RNA from 1 species
CCAGCUCCAUCGAGAGGAGAGACCGGGUCGACGAGAGCGAACCAAGAAACUGAAUCGAAGCGGGACCACCCCAGUGACAGAGAACUCUAUCGUGGCACGCCCCGAGGGUGUCAGCCGCUGCAGCGGAAAGGAUAGCGGCCACACGUACAGCCACGCACAGACACACACAGACACACAGACACACAUACAUUUUCGACGCGUCUAUCAACGCGGCACCCGUUCUUCCGCUUUUUCGCUCUCUGCGGCUUGUGUCGCAGACGAACGCGCCUUGCGCAUCACAGAUCACGUAGAAGAGCAUGCGAUAACAGACGGUCACUGACGCACUCACGGACGUACUCGAACACGGAAGCCAAGCGCAACGAACAAGACUUGACCGGCUCGGCCUUUUCUCUCCUCCGUGCUGAGAGGGGGCAACAGCGGCGAGUCCAGCGUCUUCCAUUGCACACACCGCUUUCCAUCGCACCUGGCAGCAACAGCAGCAACAGCAGCAGCAGCAGCAGCUCCUCCCCACGACCUGCUGAACCAUCUGCGGAGAUGGAGUCCUUUCUCGCCAACGUGGACAGCGCUCAUCUCAAGGCGCGGCUGAACAAAAUCAUGGCGGAUGUGAACGCUGUUACACCCGACGCGGCGGCCGCCGCCGUUUCCGCGAAAAGCAGCGAAGAGGCGGGCCAGUGCGUUCUCGAGUUCGUGAAAUUUUUUGUGUCAGUGGCGGAGCAACACGGCACCACUCCACACGCCGUCCUCGGCCAACACGUCGUGUCCAAUGUGCUCAUCUUCGUGCUGGAGCGAAUCGUAAAGCCGAACCUCAUGACGUACUGCCGCGUUGCGGAGAAGCACGCUGCGAUCGCCGUGGCUGCCUCUGGUGAUACCACCAGUCCAGCGCGCUGCAGAGCGGCGAAACUCGGAUCCGGAGCCGCCUCCGCGGCCACCGGACGCCGCGACGCACUGGAGGCGCGACGGCGGCGCCUGCGCAGGGAUAUAAUUCGCCCCUUUGCCCAGCUCUUCCAGAGCCUGCACACCUCGCUCGCCGAAGAGGGCGAGCCGCUAAUGACCUGGGCCACGGAGGGUGGCGGCAGAACACUGGGCGCAACUCGGAGAGCCGCUGCCUUGCGCUCAGGCGGAAGGCACGACGAGCUCCUGGGGAGCGCAUCGCCCAGCUAUGCGCCACCCGAAUCUUCUUCGGCGUUCGGAGGCUCUCGAAGGGGCGAACAGCGCGCCGGCGAAUGGAGAGGCCGGGACGACGUCUGGGGCACAGGCGACAGCGCCCACGAGGACGGGCUGCUGAUCAGCGGCGCCAGUGACGCCUUGAGUCAGGCGCCGCUGCUGUGGAAGAGCGCGUCCCCGCUCAACAUUCUGUGCAAUCACAUUCUCGAAGUGCUGGAAAGUCAGUGGCUUGUCGCCGCUGUUGGCGCUGACUACGCGGCGCUUCUCAUCGAGGUGCUUCGGUGGUCCGGCUACGCUCGCCUGAUCACGCCAACGUAUCUGGUGCGCCUUUCAGAGUGUCUUGUCACGCUGAUUCAACGCGUCUCCACGCUGGAGGAGGCUGACACCGACGUGCUGACGGUGGCCCCGAAUCUUGUGGCUCAGGCGGUGGACGACGGGCGACUCUGGGUGGCUGCCCCAUGCGCUGACGACGCGUGUUUGUACGCACAGGUGCUCAUGCGACUCUGCGCACUGCCACAGAUCACCACAGCCUACCCGCCAUCGUCAUCCACGGCGACCGAUGCUGGCAUGCAUGGCGGUGGCGGUGCCGCAGCGGCACUGGCGUUCGUGCGGCGUGUGAUCGAGGUGGUGAAGGCACGACAUCGCGCCCCGACACCGGACUUGCGGCUCGAGGCCUACUGCAUCGCGGCGCUUCGGCGGCUUUGCCAGCGAUUUCGCUACGACCACCCCAUCGCCGCCCGCGCGCCGGUCGAGGUGGUAAAACUUCUGUGUGACUUCUUCUUCCUGCUCCACCACACGCCCCGCCACGAUGUGUGGCGGCUAGAGACGAUGCAGUUCUUGACGGUGGUGCUGUCCGUCGCACUCUCUGACGUUGUGGGCGAGGAGCUGUGGCAGGACUUGCACGCGCACAGCCGCCGCGCCGCAGCUGAUGCGGACGCUGAGGCGGCGAUGGUGUCACCGGACGCACGCGAGAUGGUUCAUAAAGCGAAGAGUAGCGAAAGAGUCGGCCUCGUCGGGCGACGAGGUACAACGGGCGCUGCAACGGCGGCGAACCUGCUGCUGCAGCCGCCGACGAGGCACCUCGUCGUUCUCAUUCACCAAUCCGUGUUUCCGACGAUGCAGCUCAUCUUUACACAGCACCGGCACGAGUACAGCUUCACCUCUCGCCGCGAACUCUUCAGCUUCCCGUGCUCGCCACUGCAGGAAGUGUUCGACUUUGGCGCCGUGGCGCUUUACGUAACGUCCAUUACACACGGCGCCUACUGCCGGUGGAAGGCUGCCCAGGCGAAUCGUUGUGGCGGCAGCGGCACCACGCGCUGUGGCACGGUGGCCGAUCAGGAGAAGGAGGGGGCAGAAGAUGACGAGGACGAAGAGCAGAUGCGGCGCCACGGCGCCGGAACUGAGGCGAGGCGCGCGUGCAAGCGUCUUCGAGACAUCGAGCCAGGCUACGGUGACGUGGUAGAUGGAGUGGCAAGGGACAAGGCUGCUGACGCGUCGGGCGCCGCACGGACUCCACCACCGGCGAGCCCCCAUCCUGCGCAGCUCCUUGCUGACACGCUGCAAGAGGAGUUUUUCAUGCCCGCCGGGCCGCUGGAAAGCAGCGCCACCGCCGGUAGGGCUGCCACUGCCGGGCACGAUGACCAGCAGCGCCCUCUGCAAUCUGCAGCCACUCUGACUCGACGGCGAGCCGGCGGCGCCCCACUCGUGCUCCGCAUCGGCACGUCGAGCAUCCGCACCAGCAGCGCCGCCAUACAGGACGUCGUGUCCGACACUGCGCUUUUUCUGCUGCAUCUCUUUGCCCAGCCGUGCGCAACGCUGCGGGUGCCCGAGACCGUCGCCGACCGCCUUGUCGAGGAUGUACUCCUUCCACUGUGCGGCCACUUUGGGCUUCGGCUGGGGCAGCUGCUCCUUGCGGCUGUGAAGGCGGUGAUUCCGCGCUGCAGUCUUGCGACGCAGCAGUACGCCUUCGCGGUGGUGGCGCAGCGCACUCUGCCGGCUGUGCCGCCGGCGUUAGCGCGCUGGGCGGGCUGUCUGGACAGCGUCAGCAGCAGUCGUGUUCCUGUCGCCAGAAAUGACGAGGACGUGCUAGCUCCGCCAGAGCCGGUCUAUCAUGUGCUGGUCGUCUUGCUGGAACAGCAUCUGCACCGCCGGCACGAGUUGGGGUUAUCGACAGUAACACCAGAUGAUCCCCCGAGGAACGGCCAAUCAGCGGGCGCCGCUGGCAGUGGACAGCCGGAUGUGUCGUCUGGACGUCUGCUCAGCGGCUUUCUGCUUUCCUGGGGUGACCACCACCGCGCUCUCAUCCAGCGCGGCGUGGCGCGACUGCACGCGUUUGAGCAGGACAUGCGUCGCGUGUGCGAGAGUGCAGGGGCGACAGCAGUGCCCGCCGGCGUGGGCGGCGCCCACGACGCGCCUCUCCCGCUGCUUGCCGCCUCGCUGGCACUGUUGCUCACCCGCUUCGCCACGCUGGUGCAGUGCACGCGGCUGUGGGAGAUGACGCUCUGCCCCUCCACCGCCAUGCCGGUGGACCCUGGGACGACGGAAGCGGAGCCGCAGCGGUGCCGCGUCGUGCACGACGACCACACGUGGGGCCUCAGCGACGGUCCCGCGGAAGACGUCGGCCUCAGCUUCUUGUGCCACGUCGCCGCCAACGCCACGCUCUUCCUUGGGUCUGUGCCGGUCCUUACACGUGCAUCGGACGGCGGCAGCCACGCCGGCGACGUCGCCGGUGGCGGAGUACGCGCUGCCAGGCAGGCAAGUGGAAUCGGCACUGAUGCCCUGACAGCCACGAGCGCCUCCCUAGAAACGAGGAACGCGCUGACUGGUGCCGAUGCGGUGGCGCUCUUCUCUGCUGCUCAGUUUACAGCGUGGCUGGACUUAGCGGAGACCUACGCGUGCGUCGCACUGCGGAUGUGUCUCGCGCGCCAGCAGGUGGCGGAGCAGACGGAGAUGGCGACAUCACUGCGACUUGGCCAAGGGCCAGCACUGGGUGGCGUGCCCUCUCUCUCCACGUCAUCGGGGGCCAUGACGCCUCACCUGCGAGGACCCCUUCGCCGUGAGGUGGGGGCGUAUGUCGAACACGUGUGCACGCUGCUCGAUGCGGCGGUGACGUCACCGUCGUCACAGGUGCCGGGAGUGCUGCGUGACGCAGCUGAAGCGCACUGGAUGCUUCGGCUGCCGCUGCGGAAGGGAACGGACCGCACUGAUGUGCAAGACGGCAGUGCCGCUGCGGAGGAGGGGGCGGCGAUGGGCGAGGAUGCGAAGGCAGACACGGACGCGGCUGCGCUCGGAACAGGGGUGUCACCGCUCCAGAUGACAGUGCCUCGCCGAGCAGCGCUACAGGCGUUUCAGGCCAUGUUGGCCUCAAGUGCACAGGCGUCUGUCGCAUGGCUUAUGAGGCGCGCCCAGCUGAGGCACACGCUUGCAGCGUUGGCGCCUGCCGCGGUAUCAAGGCGGGAGGGCAACCGCAGAGGAGGCGGCGGCCCACCCGAUACUCACACCGCUGUGCGGCCGGACUUGGAUGCGUCGGCGAUGGCACUUGCAUUGAGUGUGCAGUGCGUGCAACUUCUGCAUCUUCUGCUGCGGUGGCGCCGCGCUGCACUGUGGUCAACACCGGAGGAAAGCGCGCACGCGCGUGACGGCGUCCAUGCCGCUGGAGAACGCGGCGCUGUCACUCCAGGGGUGGCGAAGGACGCGCCAUUUUUGCGCUCAGCAGCGGAUGGCACACAUGCCAGCGCAGCGAGCGAGCGUGCCGAGGGCGCCGCCGCUGAUUUCGACGUGGGCGAAGAGGCAUCGGCCGCUUGCGAAGAUCUGCGCUUGCUGCGUUCCUCUCCCGAUGUCUACGCGGCUCCUCUCUCUCUGCUGGAGCGCUUCUCGGCCGCUGGCGGCGGCCGCCUCUACUACGCAGUGUUGUGGCUGUGCCAUCACAUCGCGGCAGAGCUCGACCACGCACACGCCGUCGGCGCGUUCUUUCCGCUGUGGACGGCUCUGCAUGUCUUGUUUCGCGAUGUCGGCACGGUACUGCUAGACCCGGCCUUCGCCUGCGCCGAUCCUCGGCACACGAUUGCGCGCUUUACCGCCGCGCUGACCGCGCGGAUCUUCGAGGAUGGCGUGCGCGGGCUCAGCCGGUGGCGCCCCUCUAAUCCGACAUCUCGGGAGGUGACGCACAUUAUGGCGGUAUCGCUGCACAUGUCGGUGGACACGCUGCGCACGGUGCUGUGGGCCGCCUCGCGCACACGCAUCGGUGCCUACCUGGCCGAGCCGCUCGCAGAUACCUCUGCGAUUUGCCGCACCAUUGUGACCAUGCUGCGCGAUCAGCACCUCCUUGAUACGGCUGGUGCAGACUCGUGCCUGACUGGCGACGCUGCUCGAGGGAGCGGCGAAAGCGACGCAGCAGCCGUGGGCGACAUCCUCUUACCGAGCCAUCACCGACUCCUCGAAAGACUUCCUUUUCUGCCGACGAUACUGCUGGCCCUCCCACCUCUUCUGCGCCUCUUGGCACUCAUCGGCUGCUUGCCGCCACCGCCCGCUGAUUCGGACACCGGCGCCGCUGGGGGUUCCAAUGCUGCCGAGCCGUGGUACAAGUUCUGCAGGUGCUCUUUGUGCGCUACCGCUAUCAGCUGGGACCAGGUCUAUGCAGCGGCCUCCUCUGCGGUACCGUCGCUGACAUCAGGUGGCUGGACUUCCGCAGGCAUCCUGCAACCUUGCGGGACGCUGGUGAGCGGGACUCGCAGGGAUGCAGCGAUGCCGCCGCGUUCCUCUACGCGCACGAGGGGCGCCUCUUGGAGCUGUGGACGGCUCAGCUGACGGACCACAGUCGCGUGGACAUGCCAGUGUGCACUCCUGCGUGGCAGUGCGCGCUUCUCCAGGCGGCCUUCGCGGUGCUACCGCGCUGCGAGCCGGCUGUUGCCGAAGUGCUUGGCCGCUUUUCUUUCGAGUUCCUCGCCGAGAAGUCGCCGUAUGAGGUGCGCCACCACGCGGCGCUGCAGGUGGGCACGUUGUUCCGCACUUUCUCUGCACGGCGCACGCAGGUGCUCCACACCCUCCUCACGAAGGCGCGAGAAGGCAUGCUCUCCUCUACCGAAACGCUGUGCUCGACGAGCCUGCUUGCCUUGUCGGAAGCGGUGCGGGCGGCACCGGAGCUGCUGGUGGACGUGCUGUACACCCUCCUCGAGUGCUGGGCAACCCGCGGCUUUAGGCACCAUCGACUUGUGGUGGCGUGUCUUGAGCGGAUGUCGGCGUCGGUGCUGGAGGGCGCCCGCUUGACGGCACCCGCCGGUGGCGCAUCGCUGCCACGCUCGCUACCGUACACCCACCUGUGCCGCAUGCAUGCCCGACCCCUUCUCUUCAAGUGGCUGUGCGAGUACCGUCAUCCUCAUGCGGCGCUGCCGGUGGAGUGCUUUGGCUACCCGACGCAGACCGCGUUCGUCGUGCAGCACCUUGACGUGCUGUCGCCGCUGGCGCUGCUGCUUCUGACGGAAGCUACGGAGGAGCAGUGGUCCCUCGUCGCCACGCGCGGCGGCGGGGGCCGAUGCGACGGCGCCUCAGCAGAGGGCAGCCUCUACGAGAGAUUGGUUUCCGCAUACGCUGAUACCCUCGUGGCGAAGGCCGCGGAAGAAAGCGAACAUGCGGCGGAGGCGUUGGGUGCAGCGAGACGGCGUCGCCGAACGGAGGCAAGUGGCAGUGACGCGACCGCUAAGCAGGACGAGGCCACCGAGGCCGAAUCGCAGACGGAUGCCACUGCCGUGUCUGACGCGGGCGCUCUCCAUCGCCUCGCUCCUCUGUGCAUGCUGCUGGCCUACUUUCCAGGCAUCGUGACGCAGCUCCUCGUCUUCGCGUCUCACGCGCCGGUGUCGCCCUUUGCUGGCGACGCCGGAGGUCUCGCCGAUCUUGGAAAGGCAAGGAACUCCCGCGAGUUUGCCGACUGGCCCCGCCGUAUGGGGCACGCGGACGCUGCGGUCGAGCAUCGCGGCAGUGGCGGAGGCCACUCAAGUCGUGCAAGCGCAUCCGACAUGACGCCAACGUGGGCCUCAGUAGCACAGCGGUGCCUCUACUGGCUCGAGGCGCAGCUCAACACGGCUGAGGCGACGAUGUUGGCGCAAGGCGUUCGCCUGGUCCUCACCGGCCGCCGACACGUGAGCGGCGAGUCGCCGCAGCCAACGUUCAGCGCCGCCGCGGCUCGGGCGGUUCUGUGCCACCCCGCAACUGCGUCCAGCGCCGCGGAAGUGCUGCUCUACUACCUACAGCAUCGAGGUGCGUGGCCGCACAAGCGGCGCGCGUUCGACGUGGUGCUUGCCGCGCAGGCGGACGCCGUGAUGGAGGCCUUGAUAGUGCUUCACCGCACCACUUCCGAGGUAGGAGCGCCCGUCUACGGAACCCCCGAGCAGCUGCAGCGGGCCCUCUCCUGGGUGGCCGAGAAGAUUACUUCCGUGCCGCUGCCAAUGCCUGGUCUACGCGAUCCAAGGACGCGGCAUGCGAGCUCGGCCGAGGGCCGUGGCUCAGCGACUGCUGAAGUGGAGACAACGCAGGGGCUCGUGCCUCGCUGCACUUCAAGUGAUCUAGCACACUGGGAGGCGUAUUGCCUCGCCCUGCUCGUGCCCCCUGCAGCAGCGCCAAACUGUGAGCUCCACUCGCCAGUCACUGACAUGCCGAGUGCCAGGCAAUCUGUCGAUGCUGCAGCCCUCACGGACGACGUCAUGACAAGGUUCUUGCUGCAAGGCAACAGCACCUACCUCUACGCGCUCCUGCACGCGGUAUACCGCAGCAGUGCUGCACUGCCGUCUCUGGAGCUGCAGUUCCGCGCGCUUCAGCAGUUAUCGUUGCUGACGCACAUCGCCACCUGCUGGUGCUCUGCUCGUGUCCUCACGGAGCCGCAUGCACUUCGGCUGGUGCUCUCACACCUUCUUCAUUGGCUGCGACGCUCCCCUGCGGCGGCGGUGCGGCGACUUGUCUGCGACGCGCUGCUGCAUGUCUGGCAGGUUGCUAGAGCCGGCCGCGGUAACGCCCCGCGCCACAGAGGCUGGGGGACCACUCCAGCUACCCAGCGGCGCCACUGCCGACUUAUGGUGGCGCGCAGCCUGGCACCAUUGACGGCAGUGUCGCCGCUAAUCUCCUCGACGUGGGCGGCGCUGUGCCGCAUCGACCCGGACCUGAGGCGAUCGGCUUGGCAGCAACGGGUUCUUGCCUACCUUGCUGACACAGAGAGCAGGCGUGCGACACGGAUAGGUGCGGAGACAGCUGCGGAAGGUAAGGAACGGGUGCUUGCGCGUGGCGCCAUCAGCAUCGAUGAGCCCACGGACGACGAGGCGGAGAGAAAUGAGGAAGGUGCGGCGAGCGAUGGAGCGCCUGGAGCGUCUGCCGGUGCCGGCGCCGCCGAAUCCGAAGCCGUCUCCGGCGGCUGCUCCCUUCCGCUCGAUGGGGAGCAGUGGACGUGGUCCAUGUACGAGGCUCAACGAUCCGCGUGUUUGGCACCACUAUCCAACCCGCGUGCACGCGGGCACCUCUUGGGACUCCAACGGCUUCUUCGAUACGUCUCGGGGCACGACGAGGAGGACAGCGACGAGGCGCUCGAGGGCGUCCCCGGCACCGUGGAGGAACACGGAAGCAACGCCGACAUGGACGAGCUCGUGCCACCGGAGAGUUGUGCUGUUUCCAUGCAGCUUAUAGUCGAGCACACGAGCGCCGCACCUCUUCCCUCUGCUCCGCUGCUCCAGGACAUCACCGUGGCUGUGGACUCCGCUCAGGCGCUACUCGUGCGGUGUCUUCAUGUCGCGUCCGUGUGCCUUCGCGCAGGCCAUGCACCGCCGGUCGCGGCAGGGCCUACGGCACACCGUCGCUCUCGCGUGCGAACGGGCGGCUCGCUUCGACCGGCGGAGUUGUCAGCGCUUGACGUGCGUGCUGUCCUGCUGGACACCAUUCAGCACCUCUAUCGCCUGUGCCACUGCAACAUGGCGGCCCUCCCAACGGAAUACGCGGACGCAGCAGACCAAUUUCGACCUCUUUUACCGGGGUAUGUAGCCGGCGAGGACGUGCACGGUGUCCAUACGACACGCCUGCAGAUGCUGUCCGCGGACUCGGCAGAUGAGCAGCUGCUCGCCGCCUUUCGACUACUUCGCGCGCUCGCGCUCUGCGUCGUGUUGAGCGGAGAGGCAGCCACGCUUCCUCACUGCGCGGCGGCCGUAUCAAGCGCCCCAUCAGGAAUGGGGUCUGGAUCGGAAUGGCUGCGACAUGAAGCGCAACGCAGCGGCUCGUCCGCCAGCACGCUCCUUGCGGCGAGCGAGUCGGCGCUAACAGACGACGGCUUGCCAAGCAACCAAACUGCGGAAGGGAUCGUUGCGGGAAUGCUCGCGCAAGCGUACGCGCAUCAGCUGCGCACGCUCGAGCAACUCGUCUGGUGCGGUGAUGCAGACGCCUCGGAGCUGGGCAUGUGCGCGCUGCGUGCGUGGGUGCUGUGCAUCGCGUCGGGCCCGGACGGGGCGGACGGGGCGGAGCCGCCGAGGCCGGCAGAGCCGCCGUCGUGCUUUGACGAGGCCGUUGCACAGCUCGUGGCGAGCGCGUGGCGGCAGCAGCUCACCGGGCCAUCCGCCGCCGCCGCCGCCGGCGAGCUUGUCGGGGCGAGUGGCGGUGACCAGAUGCCGUCUCCGAAAGCACGCGUGUGCUACUGCCUUCAACGGCGUCUUUCGUGGGUGACGCGUAGCGGCAGCUGCGGCUCACGUUCAUGUCGACAGCGUGCCACCUUCGGCACGCGAGGCGCCGCCGCCGACACCCAUCUCAGGAGCCCGUCUGUGUGGGCACCGCUACGGCAGUGUCCACCGAACCAGCGCGCGUUUCUCUGCCGCUUCGUGCUGGCCGCUGCCAAUACCUACGGUAUGCUGAAGAAGAGUCUACUGUGGGCCGCACUGGUGCCUCUGCUGAUGGCGGAGUUGAGGACUGCUGAGGGCCCUACAGCGGUGCCAACAUCAUCGGCUGGAUCACCUGCCUGCGACCUUGAUGGCGUGCACGCGGCAUGCGACAGCGCAGGCAGCGAUGUGCGCAUUGCGGAGCAGCUGCUUCUCCCUGUGCUGCUGCAUGCACUGUGCCUGCGCGAGAGCGAAGGGCAGCGCGUAGCGCGACAGGAGUGGAGUAGACAGCUGGAUCGGUACGUCUUUCAGCAGGCGGAGCGCUGCGCGCACACUGCACGUCUUUUUCUCCAUGUCCUUGAGCAGUGCCAUGCGGUCCUGCUUCGGUCCACGCGCCAGCGCGGCCUCAAGGGAGCAACGGCGGCGUCGGCUGGCCGCGCCAAAGCGACCUCGUCUUUCUCUGCAGCAGCAGCUGCUGCUGCAGGCGACGGCGCACGGGCCGAGGUGGCUCCAUGGCCAUCGAUCCUCGGUUCUGUGCCAUCCUUGCAGGACAUGGGCGAGUGCUACUGGCUCAGCGACAUCCCCGCCGCGCGCCUUGCUCGUGCCGCGGUGCGAGUAGGCGAGCCGCACCUCGCCCUCCUGUUCUCCCAACUCAGCGGCGAGUCGCUUUACGGGCCACGCACAGGCGCUGCGGCGCUCUGCGGGGAGUCGGAAACGACGCUGUCGGCUGUGAUGCUUCGCGAUGGUGCCGGCGCCGGAGAAGCGGUGCUAGCCAUGUCAAGCACACCCUACUCGAUACUGUUUCCGUUUGCCAGGCCGGGCGACUACCCCUCCGCCGCAUCCGUGACGCACACAGUCGGUGCUGGCGCAACCCGCAGCGGUGGCCGCGCCCGCGACCGCCACGACGCUGUACGGCGGCAGACUCGGUCGUUUGCGGAGGACAUCUUCGACUUGUACGCGUCGGUGCAGGGACAGUUGGAGCUGGAUGAUGUCGUGGGGGUGUCGCUCAUGAUGCGGCUGCAGUCCGUCACGAGCGCUCAACCGCACGGCGACGGUGCGAAGUGGUGUUCCUGGGUGGGCAGCGGAUCUGCCCUCAGCGCGAGCCUCCUCGGCUCGGCACGUGGCCGGUCCAGUGGUCGUGCCAUUCGCCGAGUCGCGGGAUACCGCGAAAGUGGCGUCACGCCCACAACGUCGGUCGCCAGCGGGGCGGACGACAGUCUAGCUGCUGCACCUUCCGCCACGGCUGCCUGGCUGGACGAGAUGCGCCUCUUGGAGGAGAGCGAGACCCAUCAUGCCAGCGGCAGGCUGUGGGGCAGUGACGUGCCACGUGCUAGUGCGGCGGCUGAUAGCGGACUCGGCGGUGCAACUGUCGAAGUUGCAAGACCCAGUGUCGCGCUGACGGGUGAGGUGCAGGAGCGGCGGCCCGACCCAUGGGCCGCACACUUACAGCGUGCGGCGCUUCUCCUCCAGCACGGCUUCCCCUCCACGGCGUUGGACGUUUUAUUGAGUCUGCAACCGGCCGAGCGGCGAUGGGAAGCCGCGCUGCGGCAUCGCAGCGACAGUGGCGCUGCGGAAAGCGGCGUCGCGGACGACUCCGUACGUGCUUGCAGUGCCCCAGGGCGCGCGGCCGGCAGGGGCACAACGGAACUGGGGCCGGAGGUGUUCUUGACAGGUGCGGCCGGCGAAGCGAUCGACGCUGCUGCUGGCAACACCGAUAUGUUGUCGUCGUGGACGCCCGCACACGAGGCAUCGCUACAGGCCUUGCUCGCUGAGGCCGCCUGGAAGUGCGGGCGGUGGUCCUGUGGCGGUGGCGUCGCUGGCGACUGCCCCGGAAGCUGUUCAUCCGAGUGCGUGCCCCGCGCAGUACUAGACCGUCUUUCGCUACGCGGGAACACGGCGACACCAGAAUCCUGUGGCGCGUCGUUGAUGCCCGCGUCAGCGGGGAGGUUUUACGUUCACCUUCUCAGCGCUUUUAUUACUCUCACAAAUGGGCAGCCGCUGCUGAGCAUGCAGCACGUGCGCCGCGCCGAGUCGGCCCUUCGUCAGCAACUGUCUCCUACUACCUUCGUGACGACCGUCAUGGCGGCAGAGGCGCUCCAUGAAGUGCGUGACUGCGCGGCGCGCUUCUUAGCAGCCGAUGCAGCCGCGAGGAAGGGCAAAGCAGGGAAACCAUCGCGCGGCCGCGGUGCCGCGCCGAAGUGGAAGCAAGGCGACCGAGUAGUCGAGCUGCCCACGUGGCUUCGGAGCCUGCGUGGCGACUCGGUAGCGCGAGGAUCAGGCUUGGACGCUGCCGAGUUGCCGACUGCGCGGGUGCCGAGCACUGUCGACUACGCCUCCAGGGAGCUGCUCGACUCCGUACGCCAUGCGCUGUGCCAGGUCUACGGCGACCGCGAAGGCUGGUACCGAUUUGUGCUCGGGGCGACAGAGCAGGCGCUGCUGAAUCGAGAUGCGGCCGCGGCGCACCGUUGGCUGCGUGACUGGAAAGAGCAGCACGCGGAAGGCACGGGCGGCGAAGGUGAGCAGGCAUCGCCGUCGCCGGCGAUCGUUGGUACUGUCGCGGCAGAGGUGCGAGAACGCGCGCGACAACUGGACCUGGUACUCCGCACGGCACAGGUUGCCUACGGCCUCGGCAGAUGGCAGGAGGCCCUAGCGCUUCUUCAGCCGGCCGCCGCGGCGGCACGCGGGGAGGCAAGCCUCGCCCACUGUAAUGUCGCCCCACCGCGUACCGCACCUUGGCAUGCCCCACAGGAGCCGCGUGUGAUCCAGCAGCUGAUGGUGUGGCACGGGGAACUCCGGCUGCUGCCGCCCUCGCAGCUUGUACGUGAUCCGUUUCUCUCGCGCGCGGCGGCUUCUGACAGCAGCGGCGCCUGCAGCUUCCUGUUAGCGCGUCUGUGCCACACACUCGCCGACGACAUCGCUGCGCGAUUGACAAGCCACGAGCAUCAGCAGCUCUGCGAGAGCGUGGAGGAGUCGAAGCGGCUCAAGGAGGACCUGGAAGCGCAGCUGGAGGCGGCGACGCGGCCGAGCACGGGACGGGCUGCCGCACCACUUCACCGCCCGCCCGGUGUGGCGGAGCUCGAUGCGACGACGGGAGCCACGACUACGGCGGUGCUGCCCACACUGGUGAACAUUGCUGGCGUGGCACCUCUGAGAGAAGCGCGCGGUCGCUCUGCCGUCGCUGAUGCGGCAGCGGGAGCGGCUGCUGGGGCCGCGCCAACCGUGAUCCUCAGCGAAGACCAACUGCGCGUCAUACGGCGACGUAUUCGUGAGCUUGCUGGCGACAUCAAGCGCCUUGAAGACGAGUGGCAGAGUGAGAAGUCCAAUUUUGGGCUGUACCGCCGCAGCGCCAUCAACGCCUACUCGCGUUUUCUGCAGUUUAACCAAGUGGCGCAGCAGGGCGCAGCUCGCGGCGUCACCGAGCGCACCCAUCGAGGCGCGGCCGCUCUGUCGGAGGUGAAGUGCCUGCCAGUGGACCACGAGGAAGACGUUGUGCAUGCCGUCUUCGGGUUUGUGGAGCUCUGGGUGAACGCCGCCGACAUGGAGCAGGGCGGCGGCGAGGUACUGAGCAAAGUACUCGACAAGGCCGUCGAGCGAAUUCCGACGGCCGUCUUUGUGCCGCUGGCGGGGCAGCUGACGGCGCAGUUAGGUGGCCAGCACGAGGGCGAGCGGCUGGCUUUCCUUGUUGCCCGGCUCGCACGGGACUACCCGAUGCACGUUGUGUGGCCGCUGCUAGCCCUCUACCACGGCCACACGUUCGCCAAAUCGCGAGAUGUCAACACGCUGCACAACGUGGACGAGGCGAAGAUCACGGCGGCGCGUCAGCUCCUCGCCGGACUGGCCUCCGCACAGAGCACCGCGAACGCUUCAAGUCGCGCUGGCCACAGCGCCUCGACCGCCGCACUACUGUCGACCCAGAUCCGGCAUGCACAGCUGCUGAGCUCGGCAUACCUGGAGCUUGCGUUUGACCGCAGUGCCGCCACGGCGCAGGUGGGGAAGCGCCACGCGAUUUGCAAAGACUUCAUGCUGAUCAAGGACGCGUGUAAUCUUGCCAUCCCCCCGCCCAGCUCCGUGGAUCCCUUCGUUACACCGGCCGUCGCUGGAGGGGCCGCGCUCGCGGUGCCGCAUGUGAUGCGGUACCGCAACUACUUCACGACGCCUGGUGGUGUGAACGUGCCAAAGGUGCUGCAGUGCGAGCUGAGCGAUGGCACGGUCGUCCGGCAGCUGCUGAAGGCUGGCGACGACCUGAGGCAGGACGCGCUCAUUGAGCAGGUGUUUGCCACCGCGAAUCGUCUGUUUCGUCGACGCUCCGCGACGCGGCCGCUGCAGAUUCGCACCUUCACGAUUGUGCCGCUGGCUCCGACGGCCGGCAUCCUGCAGUGGGUGGAACACACCAUCCCACUCGGCGAGUACCUGACGGGCCGCUAUACCGGCAAGGAGGAAACGCCCGGCGCUCAUGAGCGGUACUUCCCGGGCGAGCCGAACACGCGGGAGUGCCGAAUCCAGCUGCAGAACGCGCCGCAUAGCCGCAAAUGCCAGGUGCUCUUGAGCCUGUACGCGCAGUUCACACCUGCCCUGCACUACUUUUUCUUGGAGGAGUACCUGUCCGCCCAGGUGUGGGUGGAUCGGCAGCAAACCUUCACCCGCAGCGUUGCAGCGUCGAGCAUCGUCGGCUACACUGUCGGGCUGGGCGAUCGGCACAUCAACAACAUACUCCUGCACAAGGGAACGGCGGAAGUGGUGCACAUUGAUCUCGGCAUCGCCUUCGAUCAAAACAAGCUGCUGCCUGUACCGGAGCUUGUUCCGUUUCGGCUCACACGCAACAUGAUCGAUGGCCUCGGUGUGCGUGGCACGGAGGGAAGCCUGCGCCCGUGUGCGGAGGCAGCGAUGCACUUGCUGCGCGGCAAGCGCGAGCUGAUUCGCACGAUAUUGAGCUCCAUCAUGCACGAUCCCUUGGCGCGCUGGGCCAUCGGCUCGCCAACGCACGCGAAUCACAUAAUGGGCGCCGACACCAGCGUCACCGGCGCUGGUGCCGUGCCGCAGGAGAGUAACACACGGCAGCCUGCGCCGGUGCGCACGCACGGCAGCAGCGCCGACGCCGCCCGCACACUUGCCCGCAUCGACGCGAAGCUGCGCGGCUACGACGGUGGCGACAUGCUUAGCGUGCCAACGCACGUGCGCAAGCUGAUGGAGGAUGCGCAGCGGGUGGAAAGCUUGGCCGUGAUGUUUCCGGGCUGGUCGCAGUGGGUGUAGGAUGGAGCGGGAUGGAUAAGGCGGUGGCGGACUUUGAAAGGAAGGUGCCGGGUGCCGGUCGCACGGGACUUGGGACACGCCCUUCUCUCCGUCUUCGUCGCUGUGGUGACGUGCGUUUCUCUGUUUUGCGGUGAUCGAGUGCACGAGCGGGCGAGCGCCUCUGUGGCGGUCUGGGAGAGCGCUAUGCUUUACAGAGUUGUCCGUGUAGAGCUUGUCUGCGGGGAAGGGGGGAAGGUAGUGCCUCUCGCUCUCUCGCUGGUGGUGGUGGUGGUGAAAGCCCCGCUGCGUUGAUGUGCCGCACGAGCUUUACGGAAUCUGAAGGAACAAGGAAAAGAGGACACUUAAAGGCUCUUCAGCCAGUCUGCUUUUGUGCCUUCACGAG